rnacentral:rRNA from 1 species
CCUACGGGUGGCAGCAGUGGGGAAUAUUGCACAAUGGGGGAAACCCUGAUGCAGCAACGCCGCGUGAGUGAAGAAGUAUUUCGGUAUGUAAAGCUCUAUCAGCAGGGAAGAAGAUGACGGUACCUGAGUAAGAAGCCCCGGCUAACUACGUGCCAGCAGCCGCGGUAAUACGGAGGGGGCAAGCGUUAUCCGGAUUGACUUGGUGUAAAGGGAGCGCAGACGGUGGGACAAGUCUGAAGUGAAAGGCCGGGGCUCAACCCCGGGACUGCAUUUGAAACUGCCUGACUGGAGUACUGGAGAGGCAAGCGGAAUUCGUGGUGUAGCGGUGAAAUGCGUAGAUAUUAGGAAGAACCCCAGUGGCGAAGGCGGCUUGCUAAACAGUAACUGACAUUGAGGCUCGAAAGCGUGGGGAGCAAACAGGAUUAGAUACCCCUGUAGUC